rnacentral:lncRNA from 1 species
GGCUGGGCUUCUGCAGCACAAGCACAUCCUUCCAGGCUAGCUCUGUCCUGAAUUAUUUUAGACAAGCAGUUCUUUGGGAGCAUGGAGGGUCAGCGUGGCUCUGCAAACUGCUCUGGGCCUGGCACUGAGGGAACUUUCAGAAGUAUGAGGAAACAUGAAAUAAGCCAACCAUGGCCGGAUGCUAGUAUACCAUGAUGGGCUGCCUUUGAACGAUGCUCAACUUGAGAAGGAAGCCCUGAGAUUCUACCUAGACGCCUUGUUACCCUGAUGACAACAAUGCCCAUCUCAGCCUGGGCCACAAUUCCCUGCAUCCUGCAACACAAUCAGCAUUUAACACAUGCCCUCUGGCUGCAGUCUCCCGGCAACCCACCCCAGCUCAUAUGCACUGAUUUGUUUACCAACUGCCCAUAAUGUGUCUCACAAAAUGCCUCAAAAACAAAAUGGGCUUUGCGGAUCCAACCUUACUAUGUACUUCCUCCUUCCCUCCCCCAUUUGAGGAUUUCAUCUUGACCACAGAAAAGCCACUUCCUGGUGACGUCAGACCUGUUGCUUGGGUGGAACCUGUUGGAGUCUCCAAGGCAAAGGAGCUGGCUCUGGGCGUUCACGAAGCUCUUUAUGUGAGGCUGGGAUCCAGCUGGGGCCUUCCCCAGUGAAGAAGAACAUUCUUUGGCAAGUGCUGAUAAGUCACACAAUGUUUGUCCUUGGUUGAAUGCAGGGAUGAAUCCAGGAGUAGAGGAAAG